GAUGCUCAAAACUCACUGGCGACUAUCGGCCCCUCAUCCAAGAGAUCCCUCUCAUCUACAUUGGUGUUCGGAUCCAGUGAACUGAAAUUGAUCAUACCCGAGCCCUGACAAAGGAUUUAUCUCCGUUGACAACUUUGCCUUCUUCAGGUCUAGUUUGCAUUGCGACACCCCUGCAGAUUUUUGGACGAGAAAUAUGGGGAAUAUGGAAAGACUAUCAACAGCAGAGGAUGUAUGAUGUAUGGAAUCUUUUUUUCCUUCCUCUCUAAUCUCUCUUUGGAUGAGAAAAUAUGAGUAGAAAGACUAUCAAGUGGUCUUCAUGGCCAUCCCCCAUCUCUCAAACAGUUAUAUUUUGUAAGUAGCUUGAAUUUUGGGUACUUGCCGGAGGAUGGCUUCCCUCCCUCCCUCAAAGUAUUCCCCAUAAUUCAAUGUGAGAUUCUGAAGGAUGGAUCCUCUCUUUUCGGCAACUACUGGCACCUCAUCCAAGAAAUCCCACUGAUUGUGAUUGAUCUAGUUUGGAUCCAACAGGAAGAUUUCUCUCCACUGUCUUGAGUUUUGUUCUUCAGGAAAGGCGGAGAGGAGCGACCAGG